rnacentral:lncRNA from 1 species
UGUGUGUGUGUGUGCGUGUGUGUGUGUGUGUGUGUGUGUGUGUGUGCGUGUGUGUGUGUGUGUGUGUGUGUGUGUGUGCGUGUGUGUGUGUGUGUGUGUGUGUGUGUGUGCGUGUGUGUGUGUGUGUGUGUGUGUGUGUGUGCGUGUGUGUGUGUGUGUGUGUGUGUGUGUGUGCGUGUGUGUGUGUGUGUGUGUGUGUGUGUGUGCGUGUGUGUGUGUGUGUGUGUGUGUGUGUGCAUGACUGUGAGCAAGUGUGUGCUCGUGCGUUCUUGUGAGCACUCAGGUCUGGACGGGCGGUUGAAUAGACCCCAGGUUCUGCAGCUUGCUAAUGGAAUCCUGUCCACUCAAGGAGGUCUGUGGAGGAGGGAGGCCAAGACAGAAGCACCUUUGUUGGCCAUGUUGUACCGUGGGUGGCCCCCCUCCUGUCUUCAGACCCUCAUUUGUAUCACGGAUGAUUCUGUGGAAAUGAGGAGAGAGGUUUCAAUCCAUGGAUUGGUGGUGUACCUCAGAGAAAAGGAGGAGAAGCUCUUUAAAGAGCAGUCGGUUGAUCGGGAUCUCACCAACGAAGUGUUGAAAAUCAUUGUAACCAGAGGUGCCUCAUCUGAUCCAGCCAGCGCUCAGAUUGGAACGGUGGGAACAGAAGUCCUGGAAGAAGUAGACGUACCCAGAGCCUGUGCCUUGCUAAUGGGACUGAUCUACUCACUCAAUCUCAGCUACCCAAAGGAACUAAAAAACACCUUUGAAGUGUUUCAAAAGGUAUUUCUUGAGCUGGAUAGCCUGAAAGCAAGCCCGAAAGUAAUGUCUCUGAAAAUUAAACUGCUGUUCUAAAAUAUCUGAAGAUUGUCUACUAUUUGAGCAGGAAAUGUCAUUUGUUAAUACACUGUGUUUAAAUGUUUUUAAGGUUUACUUAAAGUACACUAAGUUUACACCUAUAAUGGACUCUGGGACGUAAUUUUGGGGGACGGGACGGGUGGGACAUGUCCCCCCCACUUUUUCAAAAGGCAGUUUUGGUCCCCUGCACUUUUUUCCGUCCAAAAACAAUAUUACGCUCCAUUAAAUGGAUUUGGUUGAGCACUAGGACCGAAACGGAAACCGGUUUCCUAUUAGACCCGCCCAAAAGCUAAUCUAUUGGCUCUGCUGAUACUUGCUAACGUAUUAUUGGCUGUUGCUGCUGUCACUCAAGUUGUAAACAGAACGUGCUCACGUUGUUUUGCUAGUUUGGAGCCGCUAGGGAACACCGGUACUGAGUCACAUCGUCAACUAGACGCUGUGUAAUAUCAGAGCUCAGCUCAGCUUCCAUUACAUAACAUUUGAAUAAGUGUUCAUUUGUGAGUCUUUGGUAGUUAGGCACAGCCAGGAGGCAGCAUGUCAAGAAAACGAAAAGUGGAUAUAAGAGACUUCUUUCAAAGUCAAAACGUAAGUUGGAACAUGUGACACCCCUGCAUUAAGCUCAGACUCACCUCCUCCUUCACAAACAUACUCAAAACUAACUUUUACAAACUCAUCUCCUCCACAUAACUGACUCCUCAGACACAAUUUAUUCGUAUUAUUAUAAUUAUUAUUUUUUUAUUAUUACUAUUAUCAUCAUAAUUAUUAUUACUAGUAGUAGUAGUAGU